CAGGAUUAGAUACCCUGGUAGUCCACACGGUAAACGAUGAAUACUCGCUGUUGGCGAUAUACAGUCAGCGGCCAAGCGAAAGCAUUAAGUAUUCCACCUGGGGAGUACGCCGGCAACGGUGAAACUCAAAGGAAUUGACGGGGGCCCGCACAAGCGGAGGAACAUGUGGUUUAAUUCGAUGAUACGCGAGGAACCUUACCCGGGCUUAAAUUGCACUGGACAGGCUCAGAGAUGGGCCCUUCUUCGGACCAGUGUGAAGGUGCUGCAUGGUUGUCGUCAGCUCGUGCCGUGAGGUGUCGGCUUAAGUGCCAUAACGAGCGCAACCCUUGCCAAUAGUUGCCAUCAGGUCAUGCUGGGAACUCUAUUGGGACUGCCAUCGUAAGAUGUGAGGAAGGUGGGGAUGACGUCAAAUCAGCACGGCCCUUACGUCCGGGGCUACACACGUGUUACAAUGGGAGGUACAGAAGGCUGCUACCCGGCGACGGGAUGCCAAUCCCCAAAACCUCUCUCAGUUCGGAUUGGAGUCUGCAACCCGACUCCAUGAAGCUGGAUUCGCUAGUAAUCGCGCAUCAGCCACGGCGCGGGAAUA
rnacentral:rRNA from 1 species